CUACGGGCUGCUGCAGUGAGGAAUAUUGCACAAUGGGGGGAACCCUGAUGCAGCAACGCCGCGUGGAGGAUGACGCAUUUCGGUGUGUAAACUCCUUUUAUAUGUCAAGAAAAUGACGGUAGCAUAUGAAUAAGCACCGGCUAACUCCGUGCCAGCAGCCGCGGUAAUACGGAGGGUGCAAGCGUUACUCGGAAUCACUGGGCGUAAAGGACGCGUAGGCGGGUUGGAAAGUCAGGCGUGAAAUCCUACAGCUUAACUGUAGAACUGCACUUGAAACUUCUAAUCUAGAGUAUGGGAGGGGGAGAUGGAAUUAGCGGUGUAGGGGUAAAAUCCGUAGAUAUCACUAGGAAUACCUAAAGCGAAGGCGAUCUCCUGGAACAUUACUGACGCUAAGGCGUGAAAGCGUGGGGAGCAAACAGGAUUAGAUACCCGCGUAGUC
rnacentral:rRNA from 1 species